GGCAAGGUGGCCGAGCGGUUAAGGCGCUGGUUGUCAGUAUAAACCCAGCCAAUCAUGUUACGUCUCUUGUACUAAUACCCCUCCAGUUAGGUAUUCCCAAAUCACCAGUUCGAAAGAGCGUGGGUUCGAAUCCCACCCUUGUCA